rnacentral:rRNA from 1 species
UACGUAGGGGUGCAAGCGUUGUCCGGAAUUAUUGGGCGUAAAGAGCUCGUAGGCGGUCUGUCGCGUCUGCUGUGAAAUCUCAAGGCUCAACCUUGAGCUUGCAGUGGGUACGGGGCAGACUAGAGUGUGGGUAGGGGGAGACUGGAAUUCCUGGUGUAGCGGUGAAAUGCGCAGAUAUCAGGAGGAACACCGAUGGCGAAGGCAGUGUUCUGGGCCAGUACUGACGCU